UUUCGAUUGCGAUUUUUGUCAUAUUAAAAAAUAAUUAAAAAACUUAUUUUUUAAUUAUUUUAUUGAACUAAACAUAUGAAGUUUUAUUAGAUAUAUGUAGUCCGUAGUACAGUACAAUCGGAGUUAAAAAAAAAAAAGCAAAGAAAUAGAGCAGCGAGGGUCUGGAAAUGAAAAGGGGAAUUAGGGUUUGAGAGUGGGAUGGCGUCGCUGAUGAGUUGCAGCAAGUAAUAGCAGGAUCGUUGUUUUUUGUCGUCGUUAGUGACUUGUGUAUAUGUGUGUGUUUGUUUCUUGUGUGUGUGCUUGUUGGUGAGUUUCGUUGAGGGCUGGAUGCAGGGGUUUGUGUGUAUGGCGGUGGUGGCGAUUGGCUUGUUUGGCCGGUGGGACGGUGGCGAUGAUCGCUUGUGGCUGGGUCGGGGAUGAACGGUGUUGCAGGAGGGAUGGAGGUCGUGGAGGGGUUUGUAGGUGUGGCUGUUGGCAUAUAUAAGGAGAAGGAAGGCUGGUGGUUGGCUGAUGCUGGUAAUACGGGCGGCUGGGGGGAGGAGGCCGAGACGGAGAUGGAAUCGAUUGUGGGUUACCAUGUAAUCAGGCCAGGUUUCAUUUACCCUUAAAAGGUUUGUUUAAUUCCAUAGGCAUUAUCGAAACCUGUGAUAUCCACAACGAGCACAAGGUGUUUGACAAAUCGCAUAGCUGAAGUAACAAAUAUCACUCUCGCAAUUCGCAUUGUAAAAACAAAGCAGAAGAGCAGAGUAGAUCAGAGCGAUGUGGCACUUCGUUGUCUCAUCUGCUUUUUUCCCCCAAAUCAUCUCCUCUACUUACUCCGGUAUGAGAUCUCCUCAUUAUAUCUUUUUUAUUAUUUGUUUUCUUCGCGCUACCUAUCUGUAAAUAACUAGUUGCUAUUUAUCUGUUUUAUGCGGUGAUAGUCGCUGAAUGUAGUGAAUAGGUCAGUGCUGUUUACUGUGUUUUUCAGCUUAUGAUUGUUACUGAAUUUUGUGGAAAAUGAUAUAAAAUAAAGCUGUCUUGUCUAAUAAAUGCAUACAAGUAUUGUGUGUCAGUGUAUGUGGCGUUUUAAUGAUAUUUAUGUGAUAUUAUUUGCUGGAGUUGCAUCUACAAAAUUCUUGUGGUUCACUGGGGUUUAUGAUUUCCUGACUUAGAACUCUAUGAGUCUGAGUUCCUGCGUUUGUAUGCCUUGUACUAAUGUACUUUGUAGCAGCAAAUCUCGAGCCGGAUACGAAUCACAAUAGCUUCCACUCGGAACAAAACUUGGCCGCUUGAUGUUGCUCAAGAGCUCAAGGCCUAUAAUCGAGAUGGAGUGUAUCAGGAACAUGGGGAUUCUCUUAGCAUUGGCUGAUGAACCACUUGUGGUUAAGUUCCACAAGGUGUAUCAGGGCUGAAGCUGAUGUGUGAUGGAUUGUCAAAUGGCUGAGGCAUCCACUACUUCACUUUCUCUCUUCUUGUAGUAUUGUUUACAAUGUUUUGAUUCCAUUCCUUCCGCAUCAAAAUUUUCCCUGAUGUCACUUUGAAGCACGAAAAAAGGACAGUGUAUUGCUGAGAAGGUAGAUAGGUUGCGAGAACUUGAAGCAUUGUCAGAAAUGAAUCUCAAGACACUGUUAACAGGAGAAUUAUAAUCAGAAUGACUUGUUAGUCUAUUACUUUAAUUAUAAUGCUGUUUCACAACUUUAUUAGAAGUUGCAUGAUAUUGAAAAGACAAGAAGAGUGUACUUAUUAUUUGUUUGGUAUUUUUUGGCUGCUUAACAUAUUUUUUUUUUCAUUUUUCUUAUUCAGGACUCGUAGGAAGAAGUCACUGACCUGCCUGUUAGGUCCAUAGCACAUGAUUCUUCUAGCUUCUCAGCGGUGGCGUUGUAACUACUCAUUCUUUAAGAUAUAAUUUUAAGUGAGUUUGACUGAGGAACAGAGGUCACGUGCACAGUUGUUAAAAAUUGCUAUGCAGCUUUGGUAUUUCCUCGCUCCCUGCCUCAUAGUGCAAAUUUGUGUCUCUUUACUGGCGGAGUACCCCCACAAUUGUCUGUUAGAGGUGAUUUUUGUUCGAAGCUGGGAGCUUGGAUAUGGAGUUUGUGGUGUCUUGCUGGGGAGUGCUGAUGGUUUUAGCAGAGUUUAUUUUACCUUUUUUUAUGCUUGUAAUUUUAUUAGGACUUAUUUCUUUUGUAGUUUCCUUUGUAGUGGUUUCUUGGAGCUUGUUCUAAGAAAUCUUUUGUUGGACCUGAGAGUAGUCUUCUCUCUUGGUUGUAUCUUUUGUUUAAUUUAUAAAAUUCAAUGUUUUUUUGGAUUC